CUUCAGAUACGAUCAUAAGAUAAUUUAUGCAAGCCUGACUUUAUCUUCAUCUUCUGCUCAUAAAACAAGUUGGACUCAGCGAUUGUCCAAAAUUAGAAGGGACUGUUUAAGUUGGAUUUCUAGGAACAAUAAGGCAACUCUUGUUUAUUCCAAGAAAAUUAAAGAACUAAUUGUUGGAAAAACUUUCCAAGAUGGGAACACCAAACAUAAAUUUAAGAAAAACACUGCAGCAACAGGAAAAGAAAGAAGAAGAAGACAGUAAAAUCGCCUUCAAUCACGUAGAAUGCUAUCCUAAUAGCGUGACUUGCAUUCUCUCCUUGAUUUGGGAUUCUUUAGCGAAUUCAAGCAAAUAGCUUUAGCUGAUUCUUCAGCUUUCAACCGGAUUGCAAAAGCACAAAUAAAAUCUGCAAAGAAGGAAAUAAUUAGAACUUUUUAAGAAAUCAGAAUUUCGAUGCUUUUGGAAAUUAAUGUUCUUGAAACACGAAUUUGGGAAUGUUUGUAAUGUUUUUUAUUUUUUAUUUCAACCAAUAUAUAAAAUGAGUAAUAACCAAAACACGAAGGACAUGAUUCUUGGACGAAAAUGCACUUUUUGAAUUCAAAAAACUCAAAGACGGUGUCAAAGGACACCUGCGUUGCAGCUGUGCUGCCUAGGCAGCCAUCCGCCAACCUUCUCUCAUGGUACAGUUCGUCUUAUCCUCCAUUCAUCUAUGCCUUCAUUCGAUCGUCCAUUGAUCCUCCAACAUUGAACAACAUCUAACAAUACCAACUUGCUCUAAUGUUCUCUAAUAAAAUUCAGAUUAGAAAAGGUGUUUACAAUUACACAUAUUUUGAUUUGAACUGUACCUUAAUGUAAACAUCGCAAAGUAUUAUUGAAACCCCAUGUGGCCUCUUAAGCUUUGUACCCGUUAUUCCUUUUGACAAUAUCGGCAAUAUUACACACAUGAUUACUCUAGUUCUAUUUGUUUCAUACAAAUUUUGCUUAGCACAUUAUGGCUAUGUGCUUAUCUUCUUCAUGAACUUUUUACAAAGAAACUCUAACUUUCUUUUAAAGUGAGUACCUCGAAGUUCAUAUAGAUAAAGAUCAGACAAUAUAUUUUUACAUUUUAAGACACUUGUACUUAGUACUAGACUUCAUUUAGAGUUUAUAAAACUCAUCUAUCCAAUGAUGACAAGAAGCACUUACAUCAUAAGGAUAUAUCUUAACUUUAUUUAAGUGAAGUGCUGCAAACUAUCCACUUAUCGAAUGCUUUAUUACCCUUUAAGCUUAUGAAUUAUUAAUUCCAUAAUGAUAUGUAUGGUUUCUGUCAUUAGUUGAUUUUUAAUUAAAGAAUUUCAAUACCAUCCUAUUCGAGGUUGAUCUUAUCAAACAUUUCAUAAGAAUUUUGGCCAAGAUUUAACUUGAUGUCACACUAGUCGUAGAAAUGAAUUCAUUCUUUGAUUCAACUUUUCACGUAUUUGUUUAGACUUAUUUUUUGUUAAGUGAUUCAACACAAUCAAUCUCUUAUUCACUCUUUUGAUUCCCUUUUUUUUUAAAAUGAGAAUGAUAAAUAUAGUUGUUACGGAACCCACAUAAAAGAUAGAAAGUCAAAUAUAGUGGCUUGAUAUGAUGGAUAACGAUCAUAUUUUUCAUUUUUGUGGUCAAAGAAUGGAAAUCAAAUGGGGGCUUUAAUAUCCUGAAACUUGUUAAAGUUUCUAUGAGGAUAUUUUCAUUUAACCUGUUAUUAUCCCAUAUCUUUGAGUAUAAUUUUUACAUUUUAAUGCUACCCCCUCAUUUGGAGUAUAUUUGCGUUUAUUUUAAAUUUUCACAAAACUUGGUUUUUAUUGUCUCCUCAAUUGAGUACAAUAAUUUCUCUUUGAUUUGUCAAUGCUACCCAUGUUUUGGAAUAGUAACAGAUUAUUUGAUUUUAAAAUUUUUAUUCUUUCACUCAAUUAAGAAUAAAAUAUUUCAGCCCGCUUGAAAUAAACUGAGAAUUUAAUUUAGAUAUAGAGUACCUAAUUCACUUCUUACAUUUGGGCUCAACCAUAUUCUUUCCCACAACUGGACCACAUAUUCAACACUAGAAAGAUAAUCUUCCAAUGAAACAUGCAUUUUUCAGUAACAGAAAUUAAAAUAAAAAGGAAAGAAACUUAUCUGAAACAAAGUUCAUUUAAGUUCACAAUGUUGAUGUCUAUUUACUUCCCCUCGCCUUUUUCUUUUCUUCAACUUGGACGUAGAAGCAGGCCGAUCCUCUGAUUGUCG
rnacentral:lncRNA from 1 species